AUGGAACCGCCACCUUCACAGCAGAACAUUACGCGUGAGUGGUCGAUGGACUGCCAAUGCUACUCCAAAGGGGCUGACCUUCACCUCCCCGUGUCCCUGAACAAGAUGGACCAACGAGUUGUGACCAUGUGCUCUGCGAGAAGUGCAUCAAGGUGGCCAUCAAAUUGUCGCUGCUACUACUGCUCGACCUGUGCUGUGAGCGGGGCUGACGCCGCAUGCUGCCUGCCAUUGGAGCUGGCCAGGGAGCUUCUGCUUGCCGUGCGUGCCUCCUUCCUUCGGCAGAAGCACCAGGCUGUUAUCGCGAUGAGGAUGCUGUGGGAAAAUAGGGACAUGUUUGAUCUGGUUAUCAGUGAUGUCCACAUGCCAGACAUGGAUGGCUUUAAGCUUCUUGAGCUUGUGGGGCUUGAAAUGCACCUCCUUGUCAUCAGUCGCCGCUGGAGCCAGACAAGGUCAUGA
rnacentral:rRNA from 1 species